rnacentral:rRNA from 1 species
GAGAACGCUGGCGGCGUGCCUAACACAUGCAAGUCGAGCGGAGACAGUGAGUAGCUUGCUAUGAGCUGUUUUAGCGGCGGACGGGUGAGUAACGCGUGAGCAACCUUUCCCAGACAGGGGAAUAACACACCGAAAGGUGUACUAAUACCGCAUAAGACCACGGGAUCACAUGGUUCUGGGGUAAAAGAUUUAUCGGUUUGGGGUGGGCUCGCGUCCGAUUAGGUAGUUGGUGAGGUAACGGCCCACCAAGCCGACGAUCGGUAGCCGACCUGAGAGGGUGAUCGGCCACAUUGGGACUGAGACACGGCCCAAACUCCUACGGGAGGCAGCAGUGGGGAAUAUUGCACAAUGGGCGCAAGCCUGAUGCAGCAACGCCGCGUGGAGGAAGACGGUUUUCGGAUUGUAAACUCCUGUUCUUAGUGAAGAAUAAUGACGGUAGCUAAGGAGCAAGCCACGGCUAACUACGUG